UUUGGCCCAGAUCGUUUACCGUGAAAAAAUUAGAGUGUUCAAAGCAGGCAGAUCCAAUUUUCUGCCACCGAAUACAUUAGCAUGGGAUAAUGGAAUAGGACCCUGUCCUCCUAUUUUCAGUUGGUUUUGGCAGCGCGAGGACUAGGGUAAUGAUUAAUAGGGAUAGUUGGGGGCAUUAAUAUUUAAUUGUCAGAGGUGAAAUUCUUGGAUUUAUGAAAGAUUAACUUCUGCGAAAGCAUCUGCCAAGGAUGUUUUCAUUAAUCAAGAACGAAAGUUAGGGGAUCGAAGACGAUCAGAUACCGUCGUAGUCUUAACCAUAAACGAUGCCGACCAGCGAUUAGGAGACGUUGAAUACAAAACACCACCAUCGGCGCGGUCGUCCUUGGCGUCUGUCCCUUUCAACGGGGGCAGGCGCGAGGGCUGGU
rnacentral:rRNA from 1 species